rnacentral:rRNA from 1 species
AUUGAACGCUGGCGGCAUGCCUAACACAUGCAAGUCGAGCGGAUGAACGGAGCUUUCUCCUGGAUUCAGCUGCGGACGGGUGAGUAAUGCCUAGGAAUCUGCCUUGUAUUUGGGGAUAACGUCCGUAAACGGGCGCUAAUAUCGCAUACGUCCUGAUGUUGAAACUGGUGGUUCUUUGGACAACUCCCGUUUUGCUGUGCCUAGUUCGUAUUAGCUAGUUGGUGGGGUAAAGGCCUACCAAGCCGACGAUCCGUAACUGGCCUGAGAGGAUGAUCAGUCACACUGGAACUGAGACACGGUCCAGACUCCUACGGGAGGCAGCAGUGGGGAAUAUUGGACAAUGGGCGAAAGCCUGAUCCAGCAAUGCCGCGUGUGUGAAGAAGGUCUUCGGAUUGUAAAGCACUUUAAGUUGGGAGGAAGAGCAGUAAGAUAAUACCUUGCUGUUUUGACGUUACCAACAGAAUAAGCACCGGCUAACUACGUG